rnacentral:rRNA from 1 species
GACGAACGCUGGCGGCGUGCUUAACACAUGCAAGUCGAACGAUGAAGCCGGAGCUUGCUCUGGUGAAUUAGUGGCGAACGGGUGAGUAACACGUGCGUAACCUGCCCUUGACUCUGGGAUAACUGCGGGAAACUGUCGCUAAUACCGGAUACGACCCUUGGAGGCAUCUCCUGGGGGUGGAAAGAAUUUCGGUCAAGGAUGGACUCGCGGCCUAUCAGCUAGUUGGUGAGGUAACGGCCCACCAAGGCGACGACGGGUAGCCGGCCUGAGAGGGUGACCGGCCACACUGGGACUGAGACACGGCCCAGACUCCUACGGGAGGCAGCAGUGGGGAAUAUUGCACAAUGGGCGCAAGCCUGAUGCAGCAACGCCGCGUGAGGGAUGACGGCCUUCGGGUUGUAAACCUCUUUUAGCAGGGAAGAAGCGAAAGUGACGGUACCUGCAGAAAAAGCACCGGCUAACUACGUGCCAGCAGCCGCGGUAA